UAGGGGAGACCGGGGCUGGCUGGAACACUUUUCACUCUCGGCUAUAUUUCUCCGUCUUACAAUGCGUUGAAAUUGUCAAAUUGUGAUUAACUGAAAGCUUGGGAUCUCAGCUACAAAAUGUAUACAUUCAAAGUCAACAA